GCCGGGCGCGGUGGCUCGCGCCUGUAAUCCCAGCUAUUGGGAAGGCUGAGCCCGGAGGAUCGCUUGAGUCCAGGAGUUCUGGGCUGCAGUGCGCUAUGCCGAUGGGGUGACCCUCUGCACUAAGUUUGGCAUCAAUAUGGUGACGUCCCAGGAGCGGGGGAACACUAGGUUGCCUAAGGAGGGGUGAACCGGCCCAGGUUGGAAACGGAGCAGGUCAGAAAUUUACAGGCACUCUAAGCAGUAAUCAAAUGAAGAACACUUUGCUAUUUCCCUUCCCCUUCCCAAAUUAGAAAAAAUGUAUAU
rfam:Dipodomys ordii contig_71468, whole genome shotgun sequence.